GACCGGUUAGGUCAGUCGGGAGAUCACUCGCCCUGUAAGCGAGUUUUCCCGGGUUCGAGUCCCGGACUGGCUG
rnacentral:tRNA from 1 species